GCCCGGCUGGCUCAGUUGGUAGAGCAUGGGACUCUUGGUCUCUGGGUUGUGAGUUCAAACCCCACCUUGGGUG
rnacentral:tRNA from 1 species